rnacentral:lncRNA from 1 species
AAUAGAUCCAUUCUAAUAAAUUAUUUUUUUAAAUAAAUAUUUUUGAAAUUUAUAUUCAUAUGAAUGAUCAUACCAUCUUUAUGCUAGAUUUGAUACUAAUUUUCCCUAAAUUAUUACAUUUUACAUUUGUUUUGAUUGACAUUUUGCAUCAAAUCUUUUUAAAAAUGGCGGAUAAUGAGUUUCUUCUUAAUUUAUAUGUCCUAAAUCGGGUCUCCAACCCUAUGCCUGCAGGCACCAUAGCACUCGCCGAUCAUUUAAUGUGUGCCUGCCACUAUGCGACCAUGAUAAAAAUAUUUCAAUUUUCAAUAAAAUGC